rnacentral:rRNA from 1 species
UAGGGAAUCUUCGGCAAUGGGGGGAACCCUGACCGAGCAACGCCGCGUGAGUGAAGAAGGUUUUCGGAUCGUAAAGCUCUGUAGUUAAGGAAGAACGGUAAUGGGAGUGGAAAGUCCAUUACGUGACGGUACUUAACCAGAAAGGGACGGCUAACUACGUGCCAA